AGAGCCCAGCGCAUAAUCUCGUCGUCCCAAGGGCGCGAGAGGUGUUGCGUUUCGGAGAGAUCUAGCACCCGGUCCCGGGCCGCCUAAGUCGAACGAAUGAAGAAGGCUAUUCCCACUGUGUGCCCACGGAGGGUGAUAGGCCCGUGUGGCGGUUAGUUGUCGCGAGGCAACUCGUCGGGGCCGGGGAAAGGAUCUCUCCGUAGAGUCGGGUUGCUUGAGAGUGCAACCCAAAGAGGUGGUAAACUCCAUCUAAGGCUAAAUAUGACCACGAGACCGAUAGCGAACAAGUACCGUGAGGGAAAGUUGAAAAGGACUUUGAAUAGAGAGUUCAAUAGAUCGUGAAACCGUUAUGAGCCUAAACGGAUGGAACCUUGUAGAUCGAACUGGGAGUAUCUGCCAGCGGGGUGCCUUCCCAUAGAGUUGGGUCGCGUGCCUCAUGUAAACUACUCGAGGGCUUGGUACCCAAGCACGUGGGCAGAGUUCUUCUGCCGUGCUCGUGGGGACUGCCUGAGGUGCGUGUUACCUGUCGAAAUGCUAUGCUCCCGUAGUAGAUCACCGCGACCCGUUGGCGCCCGGUGAAAAGACCCGCUCGGAUCGGUAGCGACUCUGGGUUCCCCUCCUCCCUUCCCUCGGGUCGGGUUCAGGGGUCCCGGUCGUGAAGCCGGCGGUGUUCCGAUCGGGCGCCGACGGUCGGUAGAGUGAGAUGGGCGGCGAAUAAGUGAGUGGUAUCCCCACUCGAGUUUUCGCAACAGUGCUGAUAUCUCAUCGCGGUGUGCAAACAGUGUCAGGAACCAUCCGACCCGUCUUGAAACA
rnacentral:rRNA from 1 species